CCCUAGGAAAUUGCCCUGAUGUGGGGGAUAACCAUUGGAAACGAUGGCUAAUACCGCAUAAUGCCUACGGGCCAAAGAGGGGGACCUUCGGGCCUCUCGCGUCAGGAUAUGCCUAGGUGGGAUUAGCUAGUUGGUGAGGUAAGGGCUCACCAAGGCGACGAUCCCUAGCUGGUCUGAGAGGAUGAUCAGCCACACUGGAACUGAGACACGGUCCAGACUCCUACGGGAGGCAGCAGUGGGGAAUAUUGCACAAUGGGCGCAAGCCUGAUGCAGCCAUGCCGCGUGUGUGAAGAAGGCCUUCGGGUUGUAAAGCACUUUCAGUCGUGAGGAAGGUAGUGUAGUUAAUAGCUGCAUUAUUUGACGUUAGCGACAGAAGAAGCACCGGCUAACUCCGUGCCAGCAGCCGCGGUAAUACGGAGGGUGCGAGCGUUAAUCGGAAUUACUGGGCGUAAAGCGCAUGCAGGUGGUUUGUUAAGUCAGAUGUGAAAGCCCGGGGCUCAACCUCGGAAUUGCAUUUGAAACUGGCAGACUAGAGUACUGUAGAGGGGGGUAGAAUUUCAGGUGUAGCGGUGAAAUGCGUAGAGAUCUGAAGGAAUACCGGUGGCGAAGGCGGCCCCCUGGACAGAUACUGACACUCAGAUGCGAAAGCGUGGGGAGCA
rnacentral:rRNA from 1 species